GCGCACGCGCGCGCGCUGGCCGCCGCGCUGCCGGCCCUAAGGGACGCGCUGCUCGAAUUGCCAGGAGGCUCAGAGAGUGCAAAGAAACUGACUCGUCAGACCGCUUUAGGCGCACGCACACCUGUUAAACACGCGGGUGAGCAGCGAAGUGCCACCGGGGCGGGCGUGUGGAAGCGCGUGCGGCUGAAGUUGG